rnacentral:rRNA from 1 species
UACGAAGGGGGGCUAGCGUUGCUCGGAAUUACUGGGCGUAAAGCGUGCGUAGACGGUUAUGUAAGUCGGGUGUGAAAGCCCCCGGGCUCAACCUGGGAAUUGCAUUCGAGACUGCAUAGCUAGGGUGCGGAAGAGGGAAGCGGAAUUUCCGGUGUAGCGGUGAAAUGCGUAGAUAUCGGAAGGAACACCAGUGGCGAAAAGCGGCUUCCUGGUCCAGCACCGACGUCAGGCACGAAAGCGUGGGGAGCAAACAGG